UAAACAUCAAAUUGUCACCUAAAGCAUCCAACUGCUUCUUCCCCGAACCCGGAGGCCGUCCUCUUUGUUUCUUAGCACCCGAAUCCGCAUUCGGGUUGCCACCACCACCAUUAGAAUCCUCCAAACGUCCACCACCACCACCACCACCGCCACCAGUAACCGGCGCCGGAGCUAACCGAAGAGCAAUGUUACCAUCAGGACCCGGCGAAUACUUCCUGGGCCGGCCUCUCUUCUUCCUCACCGGCUCAAUGUUAAACCCACCGGGAGGAUCCGACCCGCCUCCGUACUGACCCGACCCGUCAAGCCCGAACCGUUCGUGAGUUACGAUGCUGUUAUUGCUCGCCGGAGCAGCUGUAGAACUGUUGGGCAUCUGGUGUCGGUGUUGGUGGGUGGUGUAACUGUUCGGUGGCAUAAUCAUCCUCCCCGGCGGCAGGUGGUGGUGGUGAACCUGGUGGUGGUGGGGUUGAUGCCGUGGCAGUGACGAUGGUUGAUGUGGAUUGUUUUGGUCUAGUUGAAGUUGAAAAUGGGAUUUAAGGGUGAAGGGAAUUAGGGUUUUGAAGAAGAGAUUACAGGUAGGAAGGUGAAGGUGGUGUAGAGAGGGGGUGACACCUGGUGUAGUGAUCAUGGUCAAAUCUGCUUACACAUUUCGUCGCCAAUUUUGAAUCUUCUUCUCUCAACUGUAUCUACUCUUUAAAAAUCAAUUCGAAUUUUGAUUCCAAAAUAUGCGACAAAAUAAGUUAACAAUGGAUAUAGAUUAUAGGGAUUGCAAUCAAAUUUGAACUCUUUUGGUAAACUCGAAAUAUUUGGGACGAGUUUGGGAAUAGUUUUUAUUUUUUAUGCGGGUUUGGGACGGGUUUAGGAUUUAGUGAUAUACCCGUUUACCCGACCCAAUUACCCGAUAAAGUGUACCCGUAUAUCCGAUAUAAUUUCUUUUAUAUUAUUAAAUAUGUAUAUAUAUGAUACAUCCAUUUUUUACACAUAUAGAUAUUUUAUUCCGUAUACAUUAUAGUUUAUUUGAUAUAUAUUUUUAUAAUGACAAUACAAAAUGUAACCAGUUAAUAGUUACCCGAUAGAUACCCAAUGGGUUUUGAGAUGAGAAUACCCAACGAGUAAUCUUUUUAAAUUAACGGGUUUACCCGAAACCCACGAGUAUACCCGAUACCUGAUAGGUAUUUACCCGCUAAAAACCUGACGGGUUUGAGACAAGCUUAUCUAACCGGGUUUGGAUUUGAGAUUACCUAAACUCGUCCCAAACCUGACCCAUUGCCAUCCCUAAAUAGAUACAAUAUUAAACUACUUGAAGUACUUAAGUUUAAAAAAAAAACUAUAGAAAUUAAACAUUUAAUAAAAAAGACACUUUUAUU
rnacentral:lncRNA from 1 species